rnacentral:lncRNA from 1 species
ACUCACUUUCCCAAACCCUAAAAGAAGAUAUCAGAUGAACCCUCCCCAAAAAUUAAAAAAAAACCUAGCAACCCUUCUUCCUCUCUCACCCAUUAGCCGCCGCAUCCCUUCCCCUAUACUAAAAAAAUAUAGCAGCCAUUUUCUUCUUCUUCUUCCCCUAUCACUCAAGCCCAUUCUAACCUCACUAUCAUUUACACACAUAAAUCCUCACCUGUUAUCCUCAAAAUACACACGAAAAAAAAACAGGUCCGAAAUUGAAGCUCUGGACCUCAGUUCGAAAACAACAAAAUUUAAAGAAAAAAUGGUAGAAACAAAAGGGUUAAACUACAAAGCGAUCUCUGCAAGUUAUCUAAGCUGAGCUUGUAGUUUUCUUUUAAUUUUUGCAACUUCUAAAAAUUGUUCGACUGAAAGAAGCUUUUGAAAUCGAAGUUGAAGCUUUGUGUUGAUUUCUGCUGUUGAAUCGGUUGUUUAGUGGCUGAACUCAGACUUUUGUUUUGGUCCAUUUCUUCUGAUGUUCUUCUGCUUUUUAGGUAUGUACCUGUUUGAAACUGUAAUUCUAUGUUAGAGUUAAAUAAAACUGAGUUAUUAUGUUUGUUUAUAUUUGGAUUUAUAGAUUCAACAUGUUUUAGGUUUCGAAGUUACUCGGAAUUCUUCUUCUGUUAAUCCGUGGUAUUACUGUGUAUUUGAAUUAAAACUCGAAUUGUUGAAGCCUGAAUGCUUGUUGAUUAGUUAAUCAUUUUCAGGUAACAUGCUAUUCUUUGAAUUAAUGAUUUGUGUUUAAGAUGACAUGGAGGAGAAUAGAAUGUAAAAUAGUACUGCUCAGUAAAAUGGAGGACCAAAAGAUUGGGCUUUAGACAGAAGCCAUUGUCUGCUUCUUUUCCAGAAGAAUCAGCGUGUAAUGUGGCCAGAUUAGAUUAAGUUUUUUUAGCAGUUUCUACUGUGAAGUUUAUGGGAAAUAUAAAUAUUGCUAAAAAUAUCACAUUAGUAGCCUGCCUUGUUUCACUACAAAUGAAUCCAAAUAUUGAGAAUAAAUUCAAAUAAAUCAUGUAAGCUAGUAAAGAUUUCAUAAAGCAUUUGAAUAAACUAAAUUAAGAUAGUGUCUUUCCAGAUUCGCAAUCCUCAAGUGUAAACUUAUUAAUCGACACUUUAUCUCAAUAAUGUUCUUAUCAAUUUGCUUUGGAUCUUUCUCAAACAUUAUAUACUUUAUCCAUACUUCUUCUUCAUAACCAAUGAGUUUACAAGACUAAGGAAUAUGAAAUAUUCUUGAACACAGUAGCUUGCUUAAGGCACGAUUAAUAAAUCAUCGUGGCCAUGGGUACAAUUCUCAUGGCAUGGUCACGAUACAUAAAUUCCAAUUCGGGUGUGCAUUUUAUGUGACUGGACCAUAACUUCGAAUAAUGAUAAAAAUAAACAUGUUGUAAACCGCGCGUGCAUUUCAUGUGACGCGAUUCGCAAUAUGUACAAAACUAGACGAGCGCCCGCCAUAAUAACUUAUUCAAAUAAAUUCCAUAAAUCCUAAAAGAAAUCAAAACUCUAUUAAAAGCGGUUAGAAAGGUAAAAAUACACAGUAGGUUUAAAUAUGUAUUAAUCAGAUAAUUAGUCAAAUUAUUUGUAACGACCCAACCGGUCGUUUUGAACAUUUGUACUUCGCUUGGUUGUUUGAGGGCAUGAGUAGCUCUGUAUGAAGUAUUAUGACUUAUGUGAAUCAUCGAUUUUGGUUUUCAGGUUAUUUGGAAUUGAUUUGGAAUAAUGAUUCUCAGCUAGAAGCUUUAAAUUUGAAAGGUUUGACCAAGUUUUGACUUUCUAGAAUUUGACCUCGAAUUGGAUUUCUGAUGAUUUCGUUAGCUCCGUUGGGUGAUUUUGGACUUAGGAUCGUGUCCGGAUUGUCAUUUGGAGGUCCGUAGUAGAAUUUGGCUUGAAAUAACGAAAGUUAGAAUUUUGGAAAGUUUGACUGGGAGUGGACUUUUUGAUAUCGGGGUCGGAUUCUGAUUCCAGAAGUUGGAUCAUGUCGGUAAUGUCAAAUGUGACUUGUGUGCAAAAUUUGAGGUCAAUCGGAUGUGAUUUGAUAUGUUUCAGCAUCAGUUGUGGAAGUUUGAAGUUUCAAGUUCAUUGAUUUCGAAUUGAGGUAUGAUUCGUCGUUUUGAUGUUGUUAUGUGCGUUUUGAGGCCUCGAGUAGGUCCGUGUUGUAAUAUGGGACUUGUUGGUAUGUUUGAACAGUGUCCCGACGGGCUCAGGUGAGUUUCGGAUAGGUUUGGGUUGUGUUGCGCUCGUUUUUUUUUAAUGUUUCGACACUGUUUUUCAAGCAUAAAUGGUACUACAUUAAGCAAAUGAGUUUCGAUUUUUGUUUUUAUUAAAGCAUUAGACGCGUAUCAUAAUUAUGGAGCUAUAGCAAAAAGAAUCGUCGACUUUGGACAUCGUAUGAGGAUUUUAUGGUCAUUUUACUAAGAAUUGGGUUGCCAGAUCUUUCAGAUUAAUUACGAAAUUGCCACUGAAUUCGUAUUUAAAAAUCUGCACUAUUUUCAAAUAUUGAAACCAACAUAUCUCCUUCAAUAUAAGGUCAAAUGGAGUGAUUCAAGAGCCUAACUUGACUAAAAUUUCAUAAGAAAUUUAUUGGAGGCAUCAAAAGCAAGUUUCGGGAUCAUUUGGAAUGAGAAUCGAGGUAGAAUAGCUGGCAAAAAAAAAUAUAAAACUAGGGUUUGUUCAUUUGGUCAUAUUUUGGGUUGGGGAGCUCGGAUUUGGACGAUUUUGGAGGUGAUUUUCAUCGUAUGAAUUGGGAUAAGUGUUCUCUAUUCGGUUUUGGUUAUAUUUCAUGAAUCCAUCUUCGUUUUUAGCAUUUGAUUGAUGAUUUCAAAGUGAAAUUUGAGGGGUUUUGCCUAAAGUUUCAUAAAGUGAAUUCUUAAGUUUUGAACAUCGAUUCGGAGUCGAAAUUAGAUGAAACUAGUAUGGUUGGACUCAUAAUUGAAUGGGUUAUCGGAUUUUAUGAGUUUUGUUGGGUUUUGAGAAGCGGGCUCGGGUUGGGCUUUUUGGCCGAUUUUGGGCUUUUGAUUAAAGAUUCGACCUUUUCCGAUUGGGAUUGGUUGCUUUAGCAUUGUUUGAUGAAUUUGAGUUGUUUUUGGUUAGUUUCGAGUCGUUCGGAGGUCGGAACACGCGAGAUGGUAUUUUUGGAACAUCGCUUGGCUUGCUCGGCAUUGGAAUAGGCUUGUUUGAGGUAAGUAACGAUUGUAAAUCUAGUCUUGAGGGUAUGAAACCCCGAAUUUCGUAUCGUUUACUAUUUUGAGGUGACGCGCAUGCAAGGUGACGGGCGUGCACCAUUGGGGGUUGUGACUUGGUCCAUCCCAUGGCAACUAUAAGUUACGUAUUUGAAUGAAACUAUAUGAUACUUAUGUGUUUUAGAUAGAAUUUCUAUAAAUUGGGCUGAAUGCCAUACUUGCACCUUGUGCCAG